rnacentral:rRNA from 1 species
AUUGAACGCUGGCGGCAGGCUUAACACAUGCAAGUCGAGCGGGGGAAGGUAGCUUGCUACCGGACCUAGCGGCGGACGGGUGAGUAAUGCUUAGGAAUCUGCCUAUUAGUGGGGGACAACAUCUCGAAAGGGAUGCUAAUACCACAUACGUCCUAUGGGAGAAAGCAGGGGAUCUUCGGACCUUGCGUUAAUAGAUGAGCCUAAGUCAGAUUAGCUAGUUGGUGGGGUAAAGGCCUACCAAGGCGACGAUCUGUAGCGGGUCUGAGAGGAUGAUCCGCCACACUGGGACUGAGACACGGACCAGACUCCUACGGGAGGCAGCAGUGGGGAAUAUUGGAGAAUGGGGGGAACCCUGAUCCAGCCAUGCCGCGUGUGUGAAGAAGGCCUUAUGGUUGUAAAGCACUUUAAGCGAGGAGGAGGCUACUUUAGUUAAUACCUAGAGAUAGUGGACGUUACUCGCAGAAUAAGCACCGGCUAACUCUGUGCCAGCCGCCGCAGUAA